CCGCACAAGCGGUGGAGCAUGUGGUUAAUUCGACGCAACGCGAAGAACCUUACCAGGCUUGACAUCCCCUGACCGCGUAUGAAAGUACGUUUUCACCCUCGGGUGACAGGGAGACAGGUGGUGCAUGGUUGUCGUCAGCUCGUGUCGUGAGAUGUUGGGUUAAGUCCCGCAACGAGCGCAACCCCUACGUUUAGUUGCUAACGCGUGAAGGCGAGCACUCUAGACGAACUGCCGUUGACAAAACGGAGGAAGGUGGGAUGACGUCAAAUCAUCAUGCCCCUUAUGUUCUGGGCUACACACGUGCUACAAUGGCCGGUACAGACGGACGCAAAGCCGCGAGGUGGAGCAAAUCCUAAAAAGCCGGUCUCAGUUCGGAUUGCAGGCUGCAAUUCGCCUGCAUGAAGUCGGAAUCGCUAGUAAUCGCAGGUCAGCAUACUCGCGGUCGAAUACGUUCCCGGGCCUU
rnacentral:rRNA from 1 species